UACGUAGGGGGCAAGCGUUGUCCGGAAUCAUUGGGCGUAAAGCGCGUGUAGGCGGCCCGGUAAGUCCGCUGUGAAAGUCCAGGGCUCAACCCUGGAAUGCCGGUGGAUACUGUCGGGCUCGAGUCCGGAAGAGGCGAGUGGAAUUCCUGGUGUAGCGGUGAAAUGCGCAGAUAUUAGGAAGAACACCGGUGGCGAAGGCGGCUCUCUGGAACGGUACUGACGCUGAGACGCGAAAGCGUGGGGAGCAAACAGG
rnacentral:rRNA from 1 species